rnacentral:rRNA from 1 species
CUACGGGGCGCUCCAGUGAGGAAUAUUGCACAAUGGGGGGAACCCUGAUGCAGCAACGCCGCGUGGAGGAUGACGCAUUUCGGUGUGUAAACUCCUUUUAUAUGUCAAGAAAAUGACGGUAGCAUAUGAAUAAGCACCGGCUAACUCCGUGCCAGCAGCCGCGGUAAUACGGAGGGUGCAAGCGUUACUCGGAAUCACUGGGCGUAAAGGACGCGUAGGCGGGUUGGAAAGUCAGGUGUGAAAUCCUUCAGCUUAACUGUAGAACUGCACUUGAAACUUCUAAUCUAGAGUAUGGGAGGGGGAGAUGGAAUUAGUGGUGUAGGGGUAAAAUCCGUGGAUAUCACUAGGAAUACCUAAAGCGAAGGCGAUCUCCUGGAACAUUACUGACGCUAAGGCGUGAAAGCGUGGGGAGCAAACAGGAUUAGAUACCCUCGUAGUC